GCCUGGGUGGCUCAGUCGGGUGAGCAUCCGACUUCGGCUCAGGUCAUGAUCUCACAGUUCGUGGGUUCGAGCCCCGCGUCGGGCC
rfam:Felis catus isolate Cinnamon breed Abyssinian chromosome B4, whole genome shotgun sequence.